GAAAUACUUUAAACGGCCGCGGUAUCCUAACCGUGCAAAGGUAGCGUAAUCACUUGUCUUUUAAAUAAAGACUAGUAUGAACGGCCUAAUGAGGGCAGACCUGUCUCUUUUAAUUAACCAGUGAAACUGAUCUUCAAGUACAAAAGCUUGAAUAAACACAUAAGACGAGAAGACCCUGUGGAGCUUAAAACUAAUACUAUUAAACCAAACAUAGCGCAAGUUUUAAGUUGGGGCGACUUCGGAACAAAGUAAAACUUCCGAGCACAGAGCCAACCCUCUAAUUAAGACCAACAAGUCAAAUAAAAUCCUGAUCCAGUCCUACUGAACAACGAACCAAGUUACCCCAGGGAUAACAGCGCUAUCUUCUUCAAGAGUCCAUAUCGACAAGAAGGUUUACGACCUCGAUGUUGGAUCAGGACACCCAAAUGGUGCAGCAGCUAUUAAAGGUUCGUUUGUUCAACGAUUAAUAGUCCUACGUGAUCUGAGUUC
rnacentral:rRNA from 1 species